CCAAUAGGAAAAUAAAAGAAAGAAGACACCAUUGAAGAAGCUCUCGCUCCCUCUACUCUCCUCCGCUGCCGCCAACAUCACCACCGGUAUUCUCCACUUACCUAUACAAACUCACAUUUAGCUCGUGUUCUCGUAUCAUGAAUCCAGGCAUGGAGUCUCAUAACCAGUCAGAGAAGCAAAGCUCGCCUGGUUCGAGCAGCGUGUCUAAGAAAGUCGCGUUGAUGUGGGAGAGAAUGAACGAGGGAGUACCUAAAAAGCGAGUCAACUUCCACUCAAAGACCUCAACCGCUAAUAACAACUGGAGAGGUUAUCUUGGUGUGGAUGCGAAGAAGAAGAAUGAGCACGCAAUUGUAGUCAAGGAAGAUAGCGUUGUUUCGGAUAGUAGGUGUAGCGAGGAGGCUAAGAGCAUUGCUGCAGCCGCUCUAGCUGCUGUCAGAAACGCUACUGCAACCGCUGCAGCUGCAUCGAGCCGUGGCAAGAUCGAGAUAACUGAGGUCAAAGACUUUGCUGGACAAGAAAUCCAAGUAAAGCGGUUAGUGGAAGCUGGUUCAAAGGAAGCCUCCUCCUCUGCAUCGACUUCAGGGGUUGAUGCGGUUCUUGAGCAGAUAAAAAAGAAGCAGAAGCUGAGCGUUUUGGACAAGACCAAGAAAGAUUGGGGAGAGUACAAGGAGGAUAACAAAGGCGUUGAAGACGAGCUGGAUAAGUACAAGAAGAGCUCUGAUCAGUAUCUAGAUAAAGUUUCUUUCUUGGAGAGAGCUGAUUACAGACAGUUUGAGAAAGAGAGAGACGCCCGUUUAGCUCUUCAGUCCAAGAGAAGACUCGAUGAUGCCUGAAUGAAUGUUGAGGACUCUUAUUAACUUUCUUCUUACGCUGCAAGUGUUCUCUGUUUUCUUGUAUGUAGACAAGGCAUCCAUCUUACGAAAGCUUGUAGCAGUUUCUAAGGGAUGUUUUGUCACAUUCUCAGAAACUUCCUUGCAUCGCAAGGUACACAGUCUCCGGAACCUCUGGUGCAGCAGCAUUGUCAACCAGAUUAGGCCUAAUGUCAGCAGAUUCAAAUUCCGACCAUGGUUGCUUACCAUGUGACCACAAAUCUAGGGUUUUCUCGACCACACCGUGUUGAACUGGCGACUCCGGAGACAUAUAAACAGAUGUUCCAACAAACGGUGAAUCAACUCUUUAGUACUCAGACACCUCUCCUGCCUUUGUCGACAUGACAGUCCGAAAUCUUGAGAUCGUACAAACCUUUUACCGCUGAGGAGGAAAAAGAAGUAGAUUAUCUGGUUUAAGAAGUAGAUCAUACGAGUGAAGUCUUUUGAUGGUUGUAUCCGACAAUUUUUUUGUUUCCUUCUAUGAAAGCAGU